rnacentral:rRNA from 1 species
GGGUGCGUAACGCGUAUACAAUCUACCUUUAANUGAGGGAUAGCCCAGAGAAAUUUGGAUUAAUACCCCAUAGUAUUAUAUUAAGGCAUCUUUUUAUAAUUAAAACUCCGGUGGUUAAAGAUGAGUAUGCGUCCUAUUAGUUAGUUGGUAAGGUAAAAGCUUACCAAGGCUACGAUAGGUAGGGGGCCUGAAAGGGUGAUCCCCCACACUGGUACUGAGACACGGACCAGACUCCUACGGGAGGCAGCAGUGAGGAAUAUUGCACAAUGGAGGAAACUCUGAUGCAGCCAUGCCGCGUGCAGGAUGAAUGCCCUAUGGGUUGUAAACUGCUUUUAUACAAGAAGAAACAUCGGUACGUGUACCGACUUGACGGUAUUGUAGAAUAAGCACCGGCU